GAUGAACGCUGACAGAAUGCUUAACACAUGCAAGUCAACUUGAAUUUGGGUUUUUAACUUAGAUUUAGGUGGCGGACGGGUGAGUAACGCGUAAAGAACUUGCCUCACAGCUAGGGACAACAUUUAGAAAUGAAUGCUAAUACCUGAUAUUAUGAUUUUAAGGCAUCUUAGAAUUAUGAAAGCUAUAAGCACUGUGAGAGAGCUUUGCGUCCCAUUAGCUAGUUGGAGAGGUAACAGCUCACCAAGGCGAUGAUGGGUAGCCGGCCUGAGAGGGUGAACGGCCACAAGGGGACUGAGACACGGCCCUUACUCCUACGGGAGGCAGCAGUGGGGAAUAUUGGACAAUGGACCGAGAGUCUGAUCCAGCAAUUCUGUGUGCACGAUGAAGUUUUUCGGAAUGUAAAGUGCUUUCAGUUGGGAAGAAAAAAAUGACGGUACCAACAGAAGAAGUGACGGCUAAAUACGUGCCAGCAGCCGCGGUAAUACGUAUGUCACGAGCGUUAUCCGGAUUUAUUGGGCGUAAAGCGCGUCUAGGUGGUUAUGUAAGUCUGAUGUGAAAAUGCAGGGCUCAACUCUGUAUUGCGUUGGAAACUGUAUAACUAGAGUACUGGAGAGGUAAGCGGAACUACAAGUGUAGAGGUGAAAUUCGUAGAUAUUUGUAGGAAUGCCGAUGGGGAAGCCAGCUUACUGGACAGAUACUGACGCUAAAGCGCGAAAGCGU
rnacentral:rRNA from 1 species